rnacentral:tRNA from 1 species
GCCUUCGUGGUAUAGUGGUCAGCACGCACGACGAAUAAUCGAUAGGUCCGUGGUUCGAUUCCCGGCAAAGGCA